rnacentral:misc_RNA from 1 species
GUUCGCCUUUGCAAGAUGCUUUGAACCAGAGAACCACAUGGGUCCAUGAGCAAUUGAAAGGAGGAGAGUAAGGGACGGAUACAGGUGGAAGGCCAUAUGUGUUACCGAAGUUGUGGGUGAAUAAGGGAUGAGAACAAGAUGGAGUUAGGUUAGUGAAGGGUAAUGGGCGAGUGACUUCGAUGUAUGGCUGUGGAUUACUGGUGUGGGGAAGAGUGUGUUUGAGGAAAUGCGAAUGGUGGUGUGGUAGUGAAGAAGAAAAUGGGGCAGUAAAGUUGAAGAUGAAGAAGAAGAAGAGGAGAAUAGUAGUAUCAAUGGAGGUCCGCAUUUUGGUAGCAAAUGAAGGAAUGGGUUGAGUAGUUUGGGUUAGCACGAGAG